CUUCAGAGAUCUGCAGAAUACGGCAUUUAAAAUAAUGAUUUAAAAGCUUAUUAUAUUAGACAGAGACUUCAAGAUCCUAGCAGAAACCCAAGGUCUCCAAAGAAGAUUAUGGGACACCAUGAUGUCUCCACCUAGGUUACGACAACGCUGACCACUAGGCAAGAUGCCCCAGUGCAACACCAGCUGCCAGGACUCAGUCCAGACUGUGGGCAAACAGCAGGACCUUGGAGAAUUGAUUGCACCAAUUUUGCCUAGACAAAAUAAGUUUAAACUCAUCUCAAUAGGCUUCCACUUGGCUGGCAGAUGCUAUCUAAGCAUCAGUUGCUGACUAUAACCUGCUCUGAAUGGUGGUGAACUCUGAACUUCCUGAAAGCUGAUGUGGACCAGUCCAGCUGAUAUGAAUGCUCCCUGUCCCUUUAAUGGAGUCUGCUGACGAGAAUGAUCCAAGAAUUCACCAAGGAGAAGGGACGCUCAAUACCGGCUCAGGUGACCAUGACAAGUGGUGGGGGUGAUUUUUCUCUGCCACACAGUCAGAAACAAAGGCUCCAGCUAUCAGAUCAACUGAGAUGGGAAACUUUCAUUCAGAAGGAAAGGGAUGGCCAACGUACUCAAUAGCCUACAGAGAGGGGGAAAAACUUUGCCAGACAGACUUCAGAAAUCGAACUGAUACCUGGAAUGUAUAAAGGACUACAAAAAUUAAACACCAAAAACUACACUGCCAAUCACUAAAAGGUCCGAUGAAAUAAACAAUUCUUAAAAAAUAGUACAGAUGACCAUGAGAUGUUUUCAAAGGUGUCCACCAUCUUUGGCCCUCAGAAACAUGUAAAUUAAAACUACACUGAGACUGUCUCAUCCCAGUCAGGAUGACUGCCACCAAGAAACAUGGACAAGGAUAUAGAAAAGAGACUUUAUUCACCACAGCUGAGCGCAAACUGGGGCAGCCGCUAUGGAAAUCAGUGUAAAGCCUUCUCAAAAAACCAAAACCCGUGCUGCUGAGAGGGCUCACUGGGUCAAGCUCUUGCUGCACAAGCCUGGUGGCCUAAGUCUGAUCCCUGCUGUCACAUGAAGUCACACGGAAAGGACUCUCUCUCCUAAACCCAAAUAAUAAUGA